GAUGCCUUCUUGGAGAGGAGCAGAGAGAAGAGUGGAACUCUUAUCUGUUAAGCACUUAACUGAGUCAUCUAAGUAGAGGCUGUUUUCCUACAAAGACAUUUCGAAGUAUACAAUUAAACUGAGAUUGGAUAUGCCACGUGACUAAUUGUGGAGCGUUUUGCUGCUGAUGUGUGACUUUCCAGAGCUCCUUUCCCCCCGCUGGUGUGGCCGCUGGCAAAGUUUGAGGAGGUGGCUGAUCUAUCAGCCUGGGUAUCUGAGUCUAUGGUGAGCAGAGCUCCGAGAUGACCUGUGAUGGACAUGUAGCAUGAGUGGGAAAUACAGCGCGUUGUUUCGGCUUUUUGUUACCACAACAGAACUCAGCCUGUCCUGAGACAGGUGUUUUAAUGAAGGGAAGUGACUUACCAAAGAUAUUUAUUUUCUCUAAAGGGAACGCUGCAUGGUGCUUUCUUCUAAUGGUUCAUCUCUUUGUAUGUGGAUGUUUCUUUCAUAGUGAAAGAAGUAAAGACAAUUACGUGUUAACCUAAAAAUAAAAAAGUCAAGGUGAGAGGCAACAAGUGUUUAUCUGAGAUCCAAAAGAACAGCUAUUCUGAAAGCACCGAUUCAGGCAGAAACCCAAAUGGUGUUCUGAUUAGGAGGUGAAGGCAAAAGAUAUUUAUGAGAUAUAAAAGGGGGAAAUUACAUGAAUAGAAGGAAGGAAUUCCUAUGGGUGUUAAUAAGUUACGGAAGGAAUUUCUAUAGAGACAAAUAAGCUAAUGUGGAGGAGGAAAAAUAUUUUUCCUUCCUUUUACCUUUUAAGUUCUGGCUGUACUAAUAAUCAACAUGAGACAGAUUAACAGGAGAAAAGUACAAAAUUCAUCGCAUAAAUACAUAUGGGGAUUCCAUACGACUAUGAGACCUGAGGACACAUUGGACAGUUGAGGCUUCCAUGCCAUCUUGAACUAAAGAGAAGGGGAGCGGUGGUGGUUGUGGUUUGGGACCUCAAAGGACAGGAAGGCAAGUCAUAUGGAGGUAGAAGAGCAAAUGUUUGAUAAAAAAUGUGUUCUAGGUUAUCUUUAACAAUGGGACACAGAGAGUACUUUUAUCAAAGGGGCCCUGCAAGGUUCCUCCUUGUAAUAAAGGACACAUUUGAAUUAGAAUUCUUAAGAAAAACCAUGGCUAAUUAAGAUUAGCAGUCUUAACUUUGCCCUUAAAAUUUAAGCCAAUUAUUUUUUGGAAUCUAUUCUACUAAUUGUGUCAACAAAUUUGGCUUCAAUUUUAUUCUAAUAUAUAUUUUCACUGUUGUAGCAUGUCUUUCUUUAUUCAUGAUGAACAACUCUUUCCGACACUGCAAUACCUGAGUCAUCGCUAAGGCAACCCUCGGGGCUCUAUCCUGGAGCCUUCACUUAUCGCAAGGUUAUAAGGAUUUUCUCAUUUCCUGAUUAUGCUCCGUAACAUGCCCUCCCAAUGUCAGAUAUUUAUUAAAUAUCUUUAACUGUUUCAAUUUCAUUGAAAAAUGAAAUUAAUAUGAAAAUAUGUGUCAAAGGGAAAUUUAAUAAAUAUCUGGCAUAAAAUAGUUUCCUCCUAGACCAUAUUCAAAAUUUCCUUAGAUCAGUUAAGAUGUUUUCAGUUGUGAAUAGCAACAUCCGACUACAAACAGGGAGUUUAUUGUCUUACCUAACAAGAAGUCGAGAGGCAGAUGGUCAUCCCAGGCUGAACUGUGUCACCAGUGAGCCAGGCCCUUUUUUUCCCUAUAUGUUGCCAUCCUCAGCAUAUUCUGUUUUGUCUACUGUUUAAUGGCUGCAAUAGGGCCUCCACAGUUCCCAGAGCUUAUGAAAUGACAGGAAGGAAGAGGUGGGAAAGAAAGUUCUCCUCAACUAUCUUGCUUUCAUCAAGAUGGAAAAAUCUUUCUAGAAGCCUCUAGAGAGAGUGCUGCUGAAAGGUUCAUUGACCAAACUUGGGCACAUGGCCAGCCCUACUUGGAAGGAAGAUGAGAGAGAAAGUAUCUGGCAAUUUUAGCCUCCGUUAUGGGGAGCAGACCCUGCCAGAUGGAGAAAGAGGGAGACGAAUGGCUUUUGAGUAGGCGACCAAAAGAGUGUGCCAAUUCAUAUUUUGGGAGAAUAUUCCUAAUUUAAAAACCUGUGAUAUUACCAAAGUUCUAAGAGCAUUCCAAGUAGCUGCCUCUUCUCUAUAUUUCCUGUUUUGACUUGACAAUUUUAAAUGGGCUCUAAGAAACCCAAUUCAGCAUGAGAAAUAUUUUAUACUACAUAAAACAACCACAAGUAGAUUAAGGAAAUAAGUAGGCUGUUUGAAUAAAAGCCUGCUUGAUUUCCAUUUACUAAGGGAGAUCUUCUGAAAACCUGUGUGUUGCUUUAUGUCCACAGAUCUUGCAGUGUUCAAAAAGAUGUGCCAAUGGUGUUCUUGCAGCAACAUUAAGGAAAAUCAUUUAGUACCUUCUACAACUUUACUUUUUAGGUUGCAUCCAGUUAUUUCAAACCAUCACUCUCCAAAGUGUGCUAAAGGCCGUGGCUCAGAACUCUCCCGGGGCAAAUCCUUCAGUCUGCAUCUCUUCUGUACUUAGCAAUUGAUGUCCAUUUUACUUUUACAUUUAUUUGCUGAUAAGACAUACGGUUUUCUUUAACUGUUUCAAUUUCAUUGAAAAAUGAAAUUAAUAUGAAAAUAUCUGUUAAAGGACAUUAGUGUCCAAUCACUACAUCUUUUCCACCUGUCAUUCAUAUGGACAUAACUAGAACAUAUUAAAUAGAAUUAAAUAUACUAUAUGUACCACAUCAGUGUUUCUCAACUGGGAUGACCAUGCCCCCCAGGGGACAUUUGGCAAUGUGUAGAGAUCCUUUUGAUUGUCACAACAGGGGAGAAGGUAGGGUGCCAAUGGCAUCUAGUAGAUAGAAGCCAAGAAUGAGGCCAGUCACCCUAUAAUUGACAAGAUAGCUCACCGCAACAAAGAAUGAUGUGGCCCCACAUGUCAACAGUGUCAGGGUUGAGAAACUCUGGACUACACCAAGUACUUUGAUGCUUCAAAUACAACACAAACUGGUUCUUUGUUCGUUAGAAUUCCUACACAGGAAAGAAUGAAUUAUUAUCGUUCUAAGUCAUCUCAACAGUUUCUCAGGCGAAGUGUUGAUUCUUAUAAACUGCAAAAUAUUAGGUCGAAAUCUAGCUUGUAUGUAGUAUUUCUUUUGAAUGAGAAAUUCCAUUUUUUGAUGUUACAAUAUUUUCUUUUCAUGCAAAGAUAGAACUUAGACGGAGCCUUCCUUCCUGAAACGCCUUCUUAAAAAAAUUGUGUUUUUUUCAGUCUGUCCGGAGGGUAAAGGUUUCAGAACAGGCCUCCCUAAGGUGUGCCACUUUGGCAUGUGAAUUAUUUUGAGCUGAAGGCAAUAGAGACCCUGUGGGCUCAAGGGAACCUUUUAUCUCUCCCUUAAAGAAUUUAAAUUGCGGGCCUUGCACAUAAGAGUUAUCACUGUAAACAACGUUUUAUGGCCUAAUUACUGAACAUUUGCUCUUCCUAUCUUUCUGCAGUGAUUAUCUCUUAAUCCCCAAGGUGCCUUACCUCAUCCUUAGCUCAGAAUAUUAGAUAUACCUCAUUUUCCCUUUCUGUUUCUGAACCCCGUGUAUGUGGGGUUCCCAUACAUGCAUAUAUAAUUAAAUUUGGUAAUUUUCUCUUGUUAAUCUGUCUCAUCUCGAUUUGAUUAUUUGACCAGCUGGAAGAACCUAGGAGGGUAGAGGAAAAUUUGUUCUACCUGUGGUGAAUCUGAACUUUACUAACAUCGCAAAGAGUUCUCACCAAGGCAUGAACUUAGAUGUGUUUGGUAUAAAUUAUAUGGCUGUCAGAAAGUCACUUAAAAAACUUUCUCUGUGCCUCAGUAUUUCCCUGUCUGUAGAAUAUACACCAACCUUGCUUGUAGAGAUAAUUUCAAAAUAUUUCACUUGGAAAGAAAGUCACCAACCAAAUCUAAGAUAGAAGUUAACAUCAUGUUCAUGUUAACCUUCCUAUUGUUUAUAAUUUAAAUGUUUUUUAUUUUUAAUUGAGAGUUGGCAAACCUUUCUUGUCUUUGAAAGUCUGACUAGGGGAACACAGAGAAGGAAAUUCGUUUUCUUUCUUCUUUCUUUAAGGAAGAUUGUUCUAUAGUCCAUCAGGCUGUUCUAAUAUCUAGCCUAUAAUUUUUCAUGAUAAGAUAUGACACAUUACAAUGUAGAUUGAUAUAACUAGUUUGGAAAGGAAUUUAUCGAUAUUUAUCAACUAACCUCAAAAAUGUCCAUGGCCUUUGAAACAGUAAUUUAUUUUCUGGGCAUUUAUCCUAAAGAAAUCAUCCUAAAUAUACAUGAGGCUUUAUACAAGGAGAUGUUCCUAAAAGUGUAGGUAACUGGAAACUAUCUAAUUGUCCAACAACCAAAAUAGUGGAAUGGAUAGGUUAAAUUGACUGACUUGACUCAGCUUUAUGUCCACUUAAAGAUAUUAAAAAUUAUUUUUAUAGGUCAUAUGUGAUAACAUGGGAAAAUAUUGUUAAAAAAUAAAACAGAAUCUGGAAUUUUGUUCACUGUGUGAUUAUAAUAGCAUAAGAAAAGAAAUCAAGCAAAAUCCUAUAAACUGGUAUAAUCAAAGUUGUUUACCCAACAAUUCCACUUCUGAGGGAUGAUCCCAGGGAAAUGAUUGACUGGAAGGAAAGUAACCACCAUGAACAAAGGUAGAAAUAACCAUAAUGGUUUUUAGUAAAAAUGUGGAAACAACUCGUGUCCAACAAUUCAAAUAUAAAGGAUUAGUAAGAUUCAUUAUGAUACAACUAUACAACAGAAAAAUGAACAGCCAAUAAAUGAUGUAGAAACAUGGUCAUUAACUUGACAAUAUAUUCACAACAUACAUAUUAAGUGAAAAAAAAUGCCAAUUAAAAAGAGUACAUACAUUAAAAAGGUAAGAAUGUUUACAUGCAUACAAGUCUGAAAGGAUAUUCUCCCCAAAGUUAGCUGGUUAUCUUUGGUGGAACAAUCGGGUAGAUUUUUGUUUUUUUUUUUUUUUCAUUUCAUACAUAUGCAUUUUUUCAUAUUCCUAUAGUAAGUAUGAAUACCUGCAUUUAAAAAAAGAGAAAAGAAAUACAUCAAAAUGUUAGCAAUGCCUGCAGAAUAGGACUAUAGAUCUUAUUUACUUUUACAUUUUGCUUCCUGUAUUUUCCUGUGUGAAAAAUAAUAUAAAUAGAGCCACUUCAAAAUAGAGUCAGAGCUCUCAUCCCAAAGGAACUGCCUUGCACAUCUUAGUCCACAAACCUUUGGAAUGUUAAAACAUUAGGGCAAAAUACCUUUGAACUGGGCCUAAAGCAGCAUUGUAUUCCAAACAACUGUCUUUAAAGAUAAUAGGAAAGCAGACAUUAUGACCAUGGGACUGAAAAUUAAAGAACAUUGUUUAGAAUUAGCAUCACUACAUUAGUGAGUGGAAGCAGAGGUUGUCACCUUUUUAAGAUAUUGAUUGUUUUAAGUUGAUAGUUUUUAAGAAAUGAAAGACUCAGGAAAAAACUUUGACCUUCUCCCUAACUGUGCAAAACAAUUUGGAUAAAGGACCUGCUCCAGAAAGGGAGCUAUCAUCCUAGAUAAUGAUAGCUUAGUAUAAACUAGUGUAUGUUAGACAAGGAGGAACCUUGCAGGGCCCCUUUGAUAAAAGUACUCUCUGUGUCCCAUUGUUAAAGAUAACCUAGAACACAUUUUUUAUCAAACAUUUGCUCUUCUACCUCCAUAUGACUUGCCUUCCUGUCCUUUGAGGUCCCAAACCACAACCACCACCGCUCCCCUUCUCUUUAGUUCAAGAUGGCAUGGAAGCCUCAACUGUCCAAUGUGUCCUCAGGUCUCAUAGUCGUAUGGAAUCCCCAUAUGUAUUUAUGCGAUGAAUUUUGUACUUUUCUCCUGUUAAUCUGUCUCAUGUUGAUUAUUAGUACAGCCAGAACUUAAAAGGUAAAAGGAAGGAAAAAUAUUUUUCCUCCUCCACAUUAGCUUAUUUGUCUCUAUAGAAAUUCCUUCCGUAACUUAUUAACACCCAUAGGAAUUCCUUCCUUCUAUUCAUGUAAUUUCCCCCUUUUAUAUCUCAUAAAUAUCUUUUGCCUUCACCUCCUAAUCAGAACACCAUUUGGGUUUCUGCCUGAAUCGGUGCUUUCAGAAUAGCUGUUCUUUUGGAUCUCAGAUAAACACUUGUUGCCUCUCACCUUGACUUUUUUAUUUUUAGGUUAACACGUAAUUGUCUUUACUUCUUUCACUAUGAAAGAAACAUCCACAUACAAAGAGAUGAACCAUUAGAAGAAAGCACCAUGCAGCGUUCCCUUUAGAGAAAAUAAAUAUCUUUGGUAAGUCACUUCCCUUCAUUAAAACACCUGUCUCAGGACAGGCUGAGUUCUGUUGUGGUAACAAAAAGCCGAAACAACGCGCUGUAUUUCCCACUCAUGCUACAUGUCCAUCACAGGUCAUCUCGGAGCUCUGCUCACCAUAGACUCAGAUACCCAGGCUGAUAGAUCAGCCACCUCCUCAAACUUUGCCAGCGGCCACACCAGCGGGGGGAAAGGAGCUCUGGAAAGUCACACAUCAGCAGCAAAACGCUCCACAAUUAGUCACGUGGCAUAUCCAAUCUGGAGGGGACCAGGAAGUAGGUAAAACAGGUUAUAUUUGGCAAAUGGCACCCGACAACACGGCCUCAAAAUAUAGUAAGCAAAUAUUGAGAGAACUCUAAGAAGACCUCAAGAAAUCUGUAAUCCCAGUGGUUAUAUUUCUGGCACCUGUUACUGGAGUCUGUAGCCAACUUGGUCUUGUUAGAUACAAGCAUUGUAGAAAGUGCACAGAUGUGUUAGGUGGAGAACGGAAAUCACAAGAAAAUAGGACAUGCUCUUUGUGAAAUCAUAAGGGAACAUUGCAUUUGUUGAUUGUGCAUGGCAAAAAGAGGAUGGGGGAGCAUGCGACACGUACAUAUGUGGCAACCUUUCAAAUUUACUCACAUAUUAGGUUGGGCUAAAAUUGUAGCAUUCUUAUAUCUCUAAGUCUGCUCUGAUUUACCUUACAAUCUCCCAUCCUCUAGGUAGAAGUGGGGGGAGGGCACAAGAUCAAAUCCAAUUUACUAACCUCAGUUUAAUUGUAUACUUCGAAAUGUCUUUGUAGGAAAACAGCCUCUACUUAGAUGACUCAGUUAAGUGCUUAACAGAUAAGAGUUCCACUCUUCUCUCUGCUCCUCUCCAAGAAGGCAUCAGGGUGUUUGAGGGAGGGGUGUGUGAUUUCCCGAGUUCAUAGGGGCAAAGGGCAGAUGUUAAUCCCACUGAAGCAAAGCAAGAUUUAGAGCUGCACCCUCCUGUUUUCUGCUUUCCCAGCAGCAUAGCUGACAUACUUCCUGCCUUAGUACUCCAACCUGGGAGGAGGCUAUCAGGACAAUUGUGUCUUGUGACCUCCCUCCCAGACUCCAUUCCCCCUUUCUUUUCCCUAUAACUGAACCCAAAAGUGGGGAGUGGAGGAGACUUUUCCCCUCUUCUUUACGGCCUGGGGGGCCUCCCUUCUAUUCUGCACACAGGGUCUACGAAUUAAAAAGGAAGCUUUGUUAUUUAGAAAUCCCUUUCUUUAAAAAGCCUGGGUUUUAUGCACAUCGUCUUACUAAAAAGAGGUCAGGAAAAUCAGCUCUGAGUGAUGAAUAGACCCUCUGCUCUGGGCAGCACCUGUCUGUCCUUUCCUUCUUGGGACAAUAAGCUUGAUGACUCUGUCAGAAGGCUACCAGGAAAUAGGAUUUAAAGGGGGAAAUCAAAAUGCAUUGGUUUAAGUCUUCUAAAAUGUGUUCACCAGAGAGGUGAAAUGGGACGAACUAAAGUGCUGAGAUUCAAUUUCUUGGGUGUCUUGUGAGAUCCAUGUCUUGUCUUCAUUGAAACAAACUGUACAUUUCAAAACACAACCCUAAUGAAAAUAUAGAAUGAAUACAUGUCACAGGUUGUAGGCAUUAAUUAGGGAACCAGCAGGAUGGGAAAUCUGGUACAAAGGGGAAUUCGAAAGGCAGAUUUAUAUGUUCGAAAAGGAAAAACAUGCUGAAAUAAGUUUGCUAAAUAGAAGCAAAACAGGGCAAAACACACACACACACACACACACACACACACACACACAUACACACACACACACACCUUUUGAGGUUAUCACUUCCCCUGCACAGAAGUCUUUUGCUUCUUUACUGGACAAAAAUCUAUAAGUUAAUAUGUCUGCGCCUUAACCAAGCAACAAGGCAUUCCUCUGGAGAGCUGAAUAACCCUUGGGUGGGCCUGUGAGUUAAAGGCCUUUACACAAAGCUUUAGUCUGACUCUGAAAAGACAAUCAGUCAUCCUUUUGCCUUGUUUUCAAAUAUUAGGUAAUUUUUCUUAACGUAGUCAAACAAUGCAUGCAUUCCACCCACCUUAACAUACACAGACCCAGGUUGGUGAGAGCUGAUGGAGUGAAGAGCCACGAAUGGAUUUAUGAAGAGCCUAUGGAAAUAAAAGAUGGGGGUUUAAAGCAAGGCUAGGUCUCUGCCUUAGAAUAAGAAUCUUUAAAACCUAAAAUUAUGCUGUUGUGUCAAACCUACAGGUUUUAGAGGUAUUUUUUUACUCACAAAUUACCCGUUCCUUAGAAUCACAAUCUAGAUAGAUUUAAUUAGGCAUAAAUGAUUCCAUUACCAAAGCAAAUUAAUCGGGUUAAAUGAAACCGUAAGGGUACGCGAUAAUUAUUUUUGAUCGUCAUAAGUUACGUAGGUUACCAUAGCCCAUGAAAUAUAUACUAGCCUAUUAGGUUACUGACAAGACAAACAUUAUUUCAUCAAUAAGGCACAUUCAGACUUGGCUUAACUUUAAGGAAUGUGACACAGUUCACAUACAAACCACUCUCCAACUGAUAGUAGUUUCCAAAAACAUCUGAAUUUUUAAAAUCCCAUACUAGUUCAUUUGUAAUACCCUCUUCCCUGUUCAGAUGGUUUUUGAAGUAUCCUCUUGGUUAGAGAGAAAGAAAAGAAAACGAAUAUUAUAAAAGAACAAAGCCUGCUCUGAUGAGCAGUUUCCCCACGGAAUUUCAUUUUCUGAGUAGAGAGCAAGAUCAUCUGAUUAAAAAGCUCAAAUUUUCUGAACCUUUCUGUUGAAGUCUAUGGUGUGUAACAUGAGCACAUUUCCAUAUUCAGGUUAUGGAAAACAAGAACUCACACAAAACUUUUCCUUUAAAAGUUGAAGAAAUCUAAGACGUUGCAUGUUGGUGCAGAAAUGAGAAAUCUAAAGGUGUUUCUCACAGACUGCUUGGCUAUAUUUUUAUUUUUCCUACAAGAAAGCGAAGACAAACAUUUGGGAAAGUAUUAUAACUCAAAAGCAUGACCAAACCUAAGAAAUUUAAGUGACCGUGUCACAGAAACAUGGGAACAUAAAUUCUGUUGGCUAAUCCAAAUAGAUAAUUAAUCAUGUUCCUGACAGUGUGGAAUGCAGAUUUGCCUGCUAUUUGCAGAGACUUUAGCGGCAGGCUGAGAGCUUUCUCGAAUGCUGGAAUCUGGAGUGGCUUGAGGAGCUGCUCACUGAAGUAAGUACCUGCCAUCCAUGGAUGAUCAGAAUGAAUGCUGCUGAGACAGCAUCAGAAAUCUAACAAAAUACUGAUGAAUUACUGGGAUGAGAUCCAGCAAAGAAUGAAAACCCAUAAAGGAUGGGCCUGACACUCUGGACCAUUUCUGCUUUGGAGUUAUUAGCUGAUCUUGAAGAGACAAUUUAGAGUGUAAACUGUCUUUUUCGGGACCUCAUUGGAUUAGGGGAACAAGAGUCAGAUCAGGACCUGCCAAGGGUAGAGACCUAGUAAACCAUUCUGCAUCCCCAAUGCGCACACCUGUUAGGAGUAAGGGUGAACUGGAAGUGUCUCCUUUAGAAAGUUUCACAUCUUGAACUUGGACUAAAGUAACCCUGGAAAAAGCAAAAGAACAUCUUUUUUAGAGGAAGAAAACAUCAACCUAAACAUCAAGUUAUUUCUACAAAUUAUAUUUCAUAUAUGGUUUCUAGCACGCAAAGAUAACUAAGCCUCACUAAGAAACAGAAAACCAUGAGCAAAAAUGAGGAAAAAAUAAAUAACAAAACAGACUGAAAGGGACUCCAUCCAGAUACUGGAUAAAUCUCCCAUAUAGGUAGGUGUGGUCAUACAACCAAACUUGGUCCAAUGGGAUGCGA